AUUGAACGCUGGCGGAAUGCUUUACACAUGCAAGUCGAACGGCAGCACGGACUUCGGUCUGGUGGCGAGUGGCGAACGGGUGAGUAAUGUAUCGGAACGUGCCCAGUCGUGGGGGAUAACGUAGUGAAAAUUACGCUAAUACCGCAUACGAUCUAUGGAUGAAAGCGGGGGAUCGCAAGACCGCGCGCGCUUGGAGCGGCCGAUAUCAGAUUAGGUAGUUGGUGGGGUAAAGGCCCACCAAGCCAACGAUCUGUAGCUGGUCUGAGAGGACGACCAGCCACACUGGAACUGAGACACGGUCCAGACUCCUACGGGAGGCAGCAGUGGGGAAUUUUGGACAAUGGGCGAAAGCCUGACCCAGCCAUUCCGCGUGCAGGAUGAAGGCCCUCGGGUUGUAAACUGCUUUUGUACAGAACGAAAAGGUUUCUACUAAUACUAGGAGCUCAUGACGGUACUGUAAGAAUAAGCACCGGCUAACUACGUGCCAGCCGCCGCAGUAA
rnacentral:rRNA from 1 species